UACGUAGGGGGCAAGCGUUGUCCGGACUUACUGGGCGUACAGCGCGCGCAGGCGGCCACGUAUGUGCUUGGUGACAUCCUCCCGCUUAACGGGAGGCGGCCCAGGUAGACAGCGUGGCUGGAGGCAGGGAGAGGGAUGUGGAAUGCCCGGUGGAGCGGUGAAAUGCGUAGAGAUCGGGCGGAACACCAGCGGCGAAGGCGGCAUCCUGGCCCUGAACUGACGCUGAGGCGCGAUAGCGUGGGGAGCAAACGGG
rnacentral:rRNA from 1 species